CUGCAGCCCGAGUAGUGAUCGUUAUUAUUGGGCCUAAAACGUCCGUAGCCUGUUUGGUAAAUGCUUGGGUAAAUCGUGUGGCUUAACCAUACGAAUACCGGGUAGACUGCCAGACUUGAGACCGGGAGGGGUUGGAGGUACUCCUGGGGUAGAGGUGAAAUUCUGUAAUCCUGGGGGGACCACCAGUGGCGAAGGCGUCCAACCAGAACGGGUCUGACGGUGAGGGACGAAGCCCUGGGGCGCAAACCGGAUUAGAUACCCGAGUAGUCC
rnacentral:rRNA from 1 species